rnacentral:lncRNA from 1 species
CAUUAUAUGUAAAUAUAAGUGAAAAGUAAAAUGUUUAACAUUUUCUCGUUUAAAAGCCAUUCCUAGGGAGUAGUGACUGUGUUAAUCAAAUAUCAGGGAAACUUAAACUGGGAAAAGAAGUCCUAGCUACUUUGGAAGGUCAUUGGGAUAGUGAAGUUUUUAUUACUGAUAAAAAGACUGAUAAUUCAGAGGUUUUCUGGAAUCCAACACCUGACAUUAAGCAAUGGAGAUUAAUAAGGCACACUGUAAAAUUUGAAGAACAGGGAGAUUUUGAAUCAGAGAAGUAAGUAUACUGUUUUACAGCUAACUUCAUGAGGAUCAGAGAGUAGUUUUUCAAUUCCUUAAUGAUAUGGUCAUUUUGUCACCUUCUGUCAUAUCUUAAUUCAGCAAAAUAGUUUAUCAUUUGUGGAAGUGACAGUAUUCUGUUUUUGUGUAUAUGAAUGUCAAAUAUAAUAUAAAUCGUCUUGCUUUUCUGUAGCUCAAAACUACUCAUUUUUUUCUUUCUCAAUUGUUCCAGCA